rnacentral:rRNA from 1 species
AACGUGUCGCGAGGGAUGACUUGGCUUCCUAUUUCGUUGAAAAAGCGCAGUAAAGUGCGAUAAGUGGUAUCAAUUGCACAAUCAUUCAAUUACCGAAUCUUUGAACGCACACGGCGCGUGGGAGAAGCUCUAUUGUGUCAUCCCCGCGCGUGCCAUAUUCUCAGUGUCGA